CAAAGUCCUUAGGCGAUGUCACGCUUCUUGCUACCCUGUAACUUAAAUGCUAUGGUGUAAAGUGAACAAUACUCUACUAGAAGUUUGGGCAAGUUGCUAAUUUUCCUGAACUUUGGUCUCUUUCUUCAAAAAGGGUGGAAAGUAGUCCCAGCCACACUGUCUGGUGGUGACAAUUGAAUGACCUGAUGCUUCUAAGAUGUCCCACACUCAGUAAAGGAAUUAUUUCAAAUACACUGGAUUAAUGGUUUCAGUGAGAAAAGAGCCCACCCUGGGCAUCAACACACACAGAUGUGCCUGUCCCAAGGUUGCUGUGUGGCCUGGAGCUACUUGCUGCAGAUUUUCCAGAGUGGGUGCCCCAGCCUUGGUUCUGAAAAUGACCCUUUUCCAGGCUACCCUAUGUGUUGCUUCAACAGCACCAAACCCAAGGGCAGCAUUUAGCCUCUUACGAAGUGAUUCAGGAACUCAGAUCUCUAUUUCUCUACUGCGCUGUCAUCUUUUAAGGCCUACACUGAGUCCUCUGCAUUCAGCUGCUGAUGAAAGUGAGCAUGGAGGACCACACAAGACAUUUCAUGGACUGUAAGUGGCAUCACUUUCUUACAUUCUAUUUAUAGAAGCUGGUUCCACGGUCCAAUCUGAAUUGUAAGAGAGGCUUGGAAAG
rnacentral:lncRNA from 1 species